rnacentral:lncRNA from 1 species
CAUCUCCACAAGGUCUAAAACACUUGUUUUGUCCUUUUUAGGCCAUGAGGAUUGACUUUCAAGACGAAAUACUUAUGGACAUUCUCAGUAGGUUACCCCUGUUUUUGAGCUUGUAGAUUUUCUCUUCAAUUACUAUGCAAGUUAUCGCACAAUGUUCAUCUUCUAGCCAUCUUAAGGAAGACAUAGAUUGAUCAAAUUUCUAUAUAACUUUUGCAAAACACUACUCUCAUUUGACAAAAACUUCUUAUAAAUACAUGCAAAUCUUCAAUUUUUGUGCAACUUAUCACACUAAUUAUAAUGUUUCCAAAGUUCUUGUACUAAUAAAGCAUGAGAUACAUGGGCAACAUACAUGUUCAAGCAUACAGUGGCGAAUUUACUGCCAAAAAAUAGGGCACCCGCACCCGUGGUCUCUUCGUAAAAUUAGAUAUUUUAUAUGUAUAUUUUUAAGAUUUUGUAUAAUAUUAUAUUCUUGCACCCGUACUACAAGAAGUCUAAAUGGUCAACAUGGUUAAAUGUUGAGGUUUUGACCUUGAGGAUUAAGGAUCAAUUCUCACUUCAAUACAUUUUACUUGGUGCACCCAUGUUCGAAAAAUCCUAGAUUCGCCUCUGCCUGUUGCCUCUUCUCCGAUUCAAAUGUGUUUCAAAAAAUUGGAAGACAUUAAUCUCCGAUCCUUACUUCAACAUGAAGCAUCAAAGACAUCACAAGAAUGACUUAAAUUCCCAAAAACUUCUUGUUGCAGUGGAUAAGGUUACC